rnacentral:rRNA from 1 species
AAGUCGUAACAAGGUCUCCGUUGGUGAGCCAGCGGAGGGAUCAUUAUCGAGUGUUACAACUCCCAAACCCUUUGUGAACCAUACCAAAUCGUUGCUCGGCGACGGGGCCAUGACGCGGCCCGGAACCAGGCGCCCGCCGGAGGUACCAAACUCUUGUCUUAUAUCCACAGCGAGUCUCUUGAUGCACAAGCAAAAAUGAAUCAAAACUUUCAACAACGGAUCUCUUGGUUCUGGCAUCGAUGAAGAACGCAGCGAAAUGCGAUAAGUAAUGUGAAUUGCAGAAUUCAGUGAAUCAUCGAAUCUUUGAACGCACAUUGCGCCCUUUGGCAUUCCGAGGGGCAUGCCCGUUCGAGCGUCAUUAAAACCCCUCAAGCCUAGCUUGGUGUUGGGUGUCGGGCCCCCCCGCACCUCUAUAUCGCCGGCUGGCCGUCGUCUGACUUAGCGUUGUGACACCAUGUCGCUGAUGCCAGACGCGGACUGCGCCGUUAGAACUCUCUUGAAUGUCCCCGGACGUUCAGUACAGGUUGACCUCGGAUCGGGUAGGAAUACCCGCUGAACUUAA